UUCCGGCGGUGGGUGACCGAGCUGGGCGCUGGGGAGACGGUUUACUUUUCUCGGAGUCGGUGGGGCCGGAGUGUCGACGGCUGUCGCCACUCCCCUACCCCCCCGCCCCGCGAGGUGGCCCCUGCGCAGGUGAUGGCUUGCCCUCUUUCGUCAGCUGGCCUUGGACCCCGCGGAGGGAGGGGGCCCGCGGCGGGCGCCCUUGAGGCGACCUGGGCCCUCGCCGCCGCGCCCGGGAGGUGCCGCUGAGCUUCCCUCCGGGGCUUCUCUGCGUGCGUGGCCGAGUGCCCCCUUCGCCCGUCCAGCCCUGUUGACCUGGGGCAAGCCCCUCUCGCCGCGCCCUCCCGUCGGUGUGUCCAGCGGAACUGGCUCGGACUUUCCUCCUGGGUUAUCUGGAGGCCCAGUGACGGAAAGCCCCGGCCUGUGGGGCCCGGAAACUUAACCCAUACGGAUGGGAACGAUAGUGCAGCGGGUCGGGCGUUUGCCUUGCAGGCAGCCGACCUGGGUUCCAUCCUUGGCACUCCAUAUGAUACCCCCGUGCACCGCCAGGGAUAAUUACUGCGUGCAGAGCGGGGAGUAACCCCAGGUGUGGCCCCCAAAACAAAACUGCGGUUAGUGGGCAACACUGGGCUGCAGAGUCCUAUAACCCGCAUUGGCACCAGAGAGAGCGGGUAGGGUUAUCGGGGUUCAAUCUUCAACAUCCCCAGGUGGUCCUCUGAGCACUGUCAAGAGUAGCUCCUGACCUGAUCAUCGCAGGGUGUGACCCCAAAGCAACAAAAAAGUUAAUGGAGUGGAGUAAGGGGCUACUUAAGAGGAGAAUGUAAAGUGCCCUCCACAAUAUCCAGGGGAGCAGAUGCUUAAUGAACUGCACUAAUUAGCUUCUGAGGGGUAUGUCUGGCAGGUGGUCUGAAACUAUUAAGAUAGAUGCACUGCACUGUAGCACAUUCAUCGGUUUGCUGGAGUGGGCACCAGUAACGUCUCCAUUGUGAGACUUGUUGUUACUGUUUUUGGCAUAUCUAAUUCGCCAUGGGUAGCUUGCCAGGCUCUGCUGUGUGGGUAGGAUACCCUCUGUAGCUUGCCGGGUUCUCAGAGGGACGGAGGAAUCGAACCCGGGUUGGCCAUGUGCAAGGCAAACGCCCUACUCUCUGUGCUAUUGCUCCAGUUAAGAUAGAUGAGCUGCAGAAAUUGAGAACCUGUUAGCUGACCAUUCGGACUAUUCCUCGAAGCUGAGAUUAGGAAGGACUUGGAAAGAUGGCACAGGAGGCGUCAGAUAUUUCUACACUCUUCCCUGAGCUCUAGAAUGGAAACUGAAGGCCACCCAGAGAAACAAAGAAACCUAAAGAAUCCAGGAUGAUCAGAUAAGGUCACCAUCAAUGAGGGGAAGGCUGAGGAGUUAGCAACUGCUGCGGUUCAGGGUUCGCAAAAACUUUCUGGCUUCCAUCAGGGAGACUGCAUGAAGACUCGGUGGAGGAGCAGGAGACCCUGGCACGAAAGAAUCCUCCCGACCCUUCAGCCUCCAGGUAGAUAUUCAGGAAGUUCAGCUGUGAAGAUGCUGCCAGACCCAGGGGUGUCCUCAGACAUCUCCGGGAGCCCCCUGGACGUGGCUGACACCUGAAAUUCACACCAAGGAAAAAGUGGUGCAAGAGCAGUGCCAGGUUGUUCUGCCUGAGGAGCUCAGAGAAAGAAGGCAGAGAUGUUAGCAGGGGGUCAGAGUCACUGGCUACCUCUCCCCGCUGGCUGCUGCUUGUUCAUCCUACAUGUGAGGCAGAACCAAAGGUUCUCUUUGUUGCAGCCGUGGGAAAUCUGAAGCCUGGUGUUCUUGGAGCUUGCCUUUGACGCGCUGUAAUAAGAAUCCAAUCCUGCCAGAAGCAGCUCCUUUCUUCGGAUUGUGAACUCUGCAAGGACUUUCUCCGCCCUUUGGUUAGGACAAUCAAUCUGCUGCUUGUUUUUGCUCUGAUGAAUGCCUCUUUUUUAUUUUCUUUUUCACUUUGUAACAGCCUUUAAUAUAUUGUUUUGAUGUAUGCGAAGAAGUCAUUGCUUUAACUUUCAGAAUUCUUGUGCCGCUCCCUGUGGGGGCAUGAUUAGAAGCUUCUGAAACCCCACCACCAGCUCAUGUGGGAUGUCCCUGAACUAUUAAAACUUGCUCCUUAAUAAAAACGUUUUGUGAUUGA